UGCCCAGCAACUCCUAUCCCUACCUCCUCGUGGUACUGGCCGGGGUACGAGUAACCUUGGGGAAAAUCGGUUAUUUAACCAACACCCGGUGGGAACGUUGGUCGUAUGCUGACAGGAAAGG
rnacentral:ribozyme from 1 species